AUUUAGCGUGAACAGAAGUUUCAUAAAGGGACCCCCAUCGUUGUCAUCACCGGCGUAUGUUUGCAAAUUUUUUGAUACCAGAAUUGCAAUCGAAUCCUCUUUCGAUCAAAGCUCGCCUUUUCUCUCUCUCUCAAUCCUUCCCUUGACGCAAAUUUCUCUAACCAAAGCCAAGCCCAUACUUUAUUUAUUUUUAUUAAAAACGUUUAGUUCUCUCUAAUUUUGUCACUUCUUAUGUGAGGAUAAUCUACAAUUAAAUCAUUAAAUGAUCCCCGUUUGAUUACAAAUGUUUACAGAAUCUGCUGCAUUUCUGCACUUUAAAUGCACCAUUUAAAUCUUAUGCAAUUGUUGAAUUUUUUAAUCAGAAGAUUGCUGUUCAAGAGGUUCUUGCUAAAGUAAUUUUCAGAGCUAACUGAUAGCUGGAAAACUGGGUUACUGGGCCAAUGGAAUCAUGGGAAGAGCUCACAAAAUCAGGGAGUUUUGUUCUUUCUCUGUGUUAAAGUUGUUUGCGUAUGUGUUGUAUGAAAGUUGAUGAAACAGAACCAUAAUUUCCCUCAUUAAUUAAUUAUGUAGGUGGUCAUGGGAGGAGAUGAUUGUAGUGAUUGUGAUGAUGACAAUAUGGACGCCGGUUCUGGUAUUCUUUUGACUGUGGACUUUGUUUCAGGAUUAGAAGUUGAGGCCAUCCCUCUGUUAAUAUGGACAAAGACAGCUGGAUGGUGGAUAACCAUGACAUUCCCUAAAAUUCGUGAAUUAUUAAGGAGCAUGAGCAACUUAUAUGCUCAUUGUAGGUUCUGAAUGAUUAAAGCAAGCUGAUUUGACCUUUUUCACUGGCAUGAGGUAACAUGAGUAUCAGGGGCUGAUGACCCUGCGAUGGAAAUCAGAAGCUACGUUCCUUCUGCUUCAGGUUGGAAAUAGCCAGUUGGAAUCAUAUUGUUUGGAGGUGGGGAUACUGACCUGAAACCUAAAGUUGAAAAAAUGGGUACCUUUUGGUUUAUGGUACUGGCAUCAGAAGUACAGACCAUUUCCAAUUUUUCCAUUUAGAUCCAGAAGCAGCAUUAUCUUCAUCCAGUAAUAUUUCUGUGAACCUGAGAAGCUUGAUUGGGAUCUAAAAAGGGCCUCCAUCCAAAGGAUGUUGCUAGCGAAUGUAAAGGAGGUUUUAUUUUCCCUUGUUGUGACCUUAGUGAAUCAUUUCUGGGGCGGCCGAAUGUUGAUAGUUCUCCAUUAUUCGAGAAUUCCUGGGUCCCAUUGGCAGAUAUUUUUCGUGAUGGAAAAUAUAUAGGCCAUGACAUUUCAAUCUUGAAUGCACAUUGAACGCUGGAAGAAAGCACUCCCAGUUGUCUGCAUGUAUAUGCCCCAUCGGCUAUGGACAAUUAGUCCUGUCCAUAAUUGUGACCCAAAUGGAUGGAAGGGAAUCAGAUAUAUGACUCAAUUACUAGUAGCUAAUGAUGCUUCUUUUUCUUCUCUCCAUUUCCUUAAAGCAGUGGCCAUGUGUCUUUUUGUCUAAGGAAAUGAUGUCAUGAGGUGAACUCCACAGGAAAUGCAUGGCAAUAAAUCUAUCAGAAAACAUGAAGUAAGCCUUAUAUGAUCAUGUAAAUCUUUGUCCUUUCUCUGUUUUAUUAUUUACCUAUUAUGGCUUUGUCUUGUGUGUCAAAUGUUUUUUUUUUUGUCGGAAAAUGUUUACUAGAUUUCCUAUGUACUUCAUGAGGGUCAACAUAGAAGAAUGUAGUACGGUUUUAUACAUCCCUUUGCUUGAGGGGGAAGAGGAUCAUUUAACGUGAAAAUACAUGCAGAGUUUUUUUGGGAGCUCC